UACGGGGGGGGCAAGCGUUGUUCGGAAUUACUGGGCGUAAAGGGCGCGUAGGCGGUUCGCUAAGUUGGAUGUGAAAACUCUGGGCUUAACCCAGAGCCUGCAUUCAAUACUGACGAGCUAGAGUUCUGGAGGGGAUAGCGGAAUUCCUGGUGUAGCGGUGAAAUGCGUAGAUAUCAGGAGGAACACCGGUGGCGAAGGCGGCUAUCUGGACAGAGUCUGACGCUGAGGCGCGAAAGCUAGGGGAGCAAACAGG
rnacentral:rRNA from 1 species